CGGGCUUGACAUCCUGGUGGAAUUUUAUAGAGAUAUAGAACCUCUUUUCGGAGACGCCAGAGAC
rnacentral:rRNA from 1 species